UUUACUACAAUAGUUUUAUAAAAAUAUUUUAAAUGAAUAAUCUCUUUCUAAAUGUGUUAUAUUUGAUUCAUACAUAUUUUUGUACGUGUAAUGAUGAUUGUGUUCUUCUAAAAAUAUUAAUAAAAGAAAUGGAUACUUGCCAAUUGCUAUCAUCGAAAUUAAGUGGAUAUCCGAAUAUAUAUCAAAUUCCAAGCUAUCCGUUUUGCAUUCGCAUUCAACAACAUUCAAAUCCGAAUUCAUAUUCGAAUAAAAAUGUGGUAAAAAGUGCUAUCCGAAUUCGAUUCCAUCUAAAUCCUAUUGAUUUCCAUCCCUAGCCACACUAAUAUGCUCGAAGUAGCUAGCCAAUGUAGUGAGCCAUCUCCAACAAAUUUCGAUUAAUUUCAUUGGAAUUUUAAAGUGUGAACGCGAGGUUUUGAUUCUAGGUCCAGUUCUUAACGUGGGCUCACAUGUGAAUCUAGCCACACUAAUAUAAAUGGAGUAGCAGUUUAUCAUACUGAGCUAUCUCUAAUAAAUUUCAACUAAUUUUACUGAAAUUGUAAGGUAUGAAUGUGAGAUUUAAAUUUUAAGAUCCGAC
rnacentral:lncRNA from 1 species